rnacentral:rRNA from 1 species
GAAGAACGCUAGCUACAGGCUUAACACAUGCAAGUCGAGGGGUAGCAGGGUAGCAAUACCGCUGACGACCGGCGCACGGGUGAGUAACACGUAUCCAACCUUCCCAUAACUCGGGGAUAGCCUUUCGAAAGAAAGAUUAAUACCCGAUAGUACUUUUUCAAGACAUCUUGAGAAAGUUAAAGAUUUAUUGGUUAUGGAUGGGGAUGCGUUCCAUUAGAUAGUUGGUGAGGUAACGGCUCACCAAGUCUUCGAUGGAUAGGGGUUCUGAGAGGAAGGUCCCCCACAUUGGUACUGAGACACGGACCAAACUCCUACGGGAGGCAGCAGUGAGGAAUAUUGGUCAAUGGGCGAGAGCCUGAACCAGCCAAGUAGCGUGAAGGAUGAAGGUCCUAUGGAUUGUAAACUUCUUUUAUAGUAGAAUAAAGUGAUCCACGUGUGGAUUUUUGUAUGUAUACUAUGAAUAAGGAUCGGCUAACUCCGUGCCAGCAGCCGCGGUAAAAC